rnacentral:rRNA from 1 species
UACGAAGGAUUCGAGCGUUAUCCGGAUUUAUUGGGUUUAAAGGGUGCGUAGGUGGAUUAAUAAGUCAGUGGUGAAAGCCCGGAGCUCAACUCCGGAACUGCCAUUGAUACUGUUAGUCUUGAGUACAGUUGAGGUGGGCGGAAUGUGUUAUGUAGCGGUGAAAUGCUUAGAUAUGACACAGAACACCGAUUGCGAAGGCAGCUCACUAAGCUGUAACUGACACUGAGGCACGAAAGCGUGGGGAGCAAACAGG